AGGGCAACCUCUGAGAUCUUAAUGCAGCCCUGGGGACAGGGAUCUGGGUAGUUUAGAAGCUAUUCUCUAACUUUGUGCAGGUGCUUCAGACCCUGAAGCUGAGACCAGAGAACUGCAGAACAGCUCCAGCUUCGCAACUGAUGUCCAGGAGCAGAACCGGUGUAAUUGUGGAGGAGAUGCAUCUGUAAUAGAUUUCCAACCUGAGGAGGACAAAGACAUGAACAGUCAGGAGGCUCCCUCUGAAGACCCCCAGAAUGUGACUUAUGCACGACUGAGCCACUUGACCCUCAAACGAAAGACAAGUGCACCCUCUUCCUCCCCUAUAGAGGAACCGCCAGGUGAGCCCAGCGUGUAUGCUGCUCUGGCCAUCCACUAGCUUAAGAAGGACCCAGAACCCACUCUCCAGGGAGAGAGCUUGCAGAGACCCUGGAAGGCCCAGGAGCUGCCCCUAUGGACACUCAACUACUGACCCCGAGCCCGAGGACAUUUUGUAAGCAAGCAGGAUAUCACGAGACCUUAGAAGUCACCUUAUUCUGCAGAAGGAGAUAAAUGUGAGUUCUAAGUGCUUUUCCAGAAAUACAACAACACUCUUCUACAUAACCAAGGAUUGAAAGAAAAAAAUCACCAAUGAAGAUAAAAUCACAAAUGAGUGUGCCUCAG